rnacentral:rRNA from 1 species
CAGCAGCCGCGGUAAUACGGAGGGAGCUAGCGUUGUUCGGAAUUACUGGGCGUAAAGCGCACGUAGGCGGCUAUUCAAGUCAGAGGUGAAAGCCCGGGGCUCAACCCCGGAACUGCCUUUGAAACUAGAUAGCUUGAAUCCAGGAGAGGUGAGUGGAAUUCCGAGUGUAGAGGUGAAAUUCGUAGAUAUUCGGAAGAACACCAGUGGCGAAGGCGGCUCACUGGACUGGUAUUGACGCUGAGGUGCGAAAGCGUGGGGAGCAAACAGGAUUAGAUACCCCGGUAGUCCCUGUCUCUUAUAC